UGCUGAGACAGCUCUGAAAGCUGGUCGUGUCUCUCCAUGUGGUCUUUCAUUCCCACGAAGGCCACGCUGGGCAUUUUCACAGGGUGAAAGCAACAUUCCAGGAGGUAAUCCCAAACAGGCAUCGCAUUUUCUGAUGUCCUCCUGGCAAGGCCAUUCACAUGACCCAGGCCAGGGUCCCUGUGGAGGCAACUUCACAAGAACAUUAGCAUCUGGAGGCAUGAUUCAUUGAGCGGGCAGCUGUGGCUGCAGGCUUCACUGUACCUCAGAAGAGAGAAGGAGAUGAAAGUCAGCGCAUGCCAAAGAAGAAACAAACACCCGGCUCCAUCAAACGUUCAUGUGAUAUUUAGAAAGAUGCUACUUACUUCUGAGUCUUGAGAUGGUACACCCUGGUGGGAAACUUCCUAUCCUGCAAUCACAGGUCUUCAAAAGGAGAAGAAGCAAAGGCUCUGACUUGAUUGCUGAGGCAUCUGCUUCAAAGAGGAAUCCACUUCAAAGAUGGCUAUUAGGACUUCCCUGGUGGCACUGUGGCUAAGAAUCUACUUGCCAAUGCAGGGGACACAGGUUCAAGCCCUGGUCCGGGAAGAUCCCUCAUGCCGUGGAGCAACUAAGCCCAUGCGCCACAACUACUGAACCUGUGCCCUAGAGCCCAUGAGCCACAACUACUGAGCCUGUGUGCCAGAACUACUGAAGCCCACGUGCCUAGAGCUGAUGUUCCCCAACAAGAGAAGCCACUGCAAUGAGAAGCCUGUGCACCGCAACGAAGAGUAGCCCGUGCUCACCGCAACUAGAGAAAGCCCGCAUGCAGCAACGAAGACCCAACAUGGCCAUAAAUAAAUAAAUAAAUAAAUAAAUAAAUAAAUUUAUUUUAAAAAGAUGGCGGCUAUUAGAAUAAACACAUUUAUUAGUCCAGCCAGCCACAGGACUACAUAAAGAGCCAGGCCACCUGCCCUCACUGAGGCGCUUUUGUUUUAGAGACGUUGGUUGUUUUUGAUAACUGACAAUUUAGGUUGGGGCCGCUUGUUUUUUCUCUUUCCAUGCUUUAAAUUCCCACCCUUAUUUUGAACUCACCAAUAAAGAG